GUUGCUCCUGCUCCACGUUGGAGCGGGGUGGGCGCCGUCUCCGCCGCUGACUUGGGGCCGCCAGGGCGCGGGCCGUGGAAGGCUCUGCUUCCUACUUGUCUUGAGGUCUUAUCCCUUCUCACAGAUCUCUCCGCUGGCUGAUAGCUCCCCGGGCAAAAAGAAAACCUUGCCAGAAAAGCGGAAGCUCCCCUAAAGCCUCCCAUGCCCCUUCAUCUCUUCAGAAGUCACGUGGACCACGACUAAUAACCUGUGGACUGGCUUAGCUAUCAUAUCUCUAUCAUUUACACGUAUUUAUCUAUCUCUGUGUAUCUAACACCUUAUGUAAAGAGAGUAUGUAUCUGUUGGCGUCUUUUGCUCAAUAUGGUUUAUGUAAUUCAUAUUUUUGCAAAUAUCUAUAAUUCAUUUUCAUCACUGCGGAAUAGUCCAUUGUAUGAAUACGCCACCACUGAUCUAUUCUAAAGAAAGAAUAGGCUGGGCGCGGUGGUUCACGCCUGUAAUCCCAGCACUUUGGGAGGCUGAGGCGGGCAGAUCACGAGGUCAAGAGAUCGAGACCAUCCUGGCUAACACGGUGAAACCCCAUCUCUACUAAAAAUACAAAAAAAAAUUAGCUGGGCGUGGUGGCGGGCGCCUGUAGUCCCAGCUACUCGGGAGGCUGAGGCAGGCGAAUGGCGUGAACCC
rnacentral:lncRNA from 1 species